AUGAUAAGCAUUGCCCUACAAUACAUAGAGAUAUUUGAAAAAUUGAAGGCACGUGAAAAGAAAUUUGAUUGCUACCCAACCAAAGAUGAUUGGAAGUUUGCAAAGGAAAUGUGUGAUAGGUUGAAGCUCUUCAUUGAUAUCACUGAGUCAUUUUCAGGAACUAAGUAUGUAACAGCAAAUCUCUUUUUCCCUAAAGUAGUUACCAUUCGUUUGGCCAUAAGGAAAUGGGGUAAAAGUGAAAAUGAGCUUAUACAAAAAAUGCCAGAGGAAAUGAAGGAUAAAUUUGAGAAGUAUUGGAAAGAAAUACAUGGUCUUAUGGCAGUUGCAACAAUCCUUGAUCCAAGGUACAAACUUCAUAUUCUCAAUGCUCUAUAUGGUCCUCUGUACGGAAGACAUCAUGCAUCCAAAGAAAUAGAGAAAGUGAGGGGGUUAAUGUUUGACUUGGUAAAGCAAUACCAAGAUAAAGCAGAAUGUGAGGAUACAUGGGAUGCUUCUACUACUUCAAUCCCAUCUGGAGAAGAGGAUGAAGCCAUGAAACUCUUGGAUCUUUAUAUGUCCAAUCGUGUCAUUACACCUUCUUCUUCUUCAUCAUCCCAUACAGAAUUGGAAUUGUAUUUGGAAGAAGCUCCUCCACCUAGAACACAAGACCUGGACAUCAUUGAUUGGUGGAAGGUUGGGGGCGUCAAGUAUCCUACCUUACAGAAACUUGCUCGUGAUAUAUUGCCUAUUCCUAUAGCAUCUGUUGCUUCAGAAUGUGCAUUCAGUACUAGUGGUAGAAUUCUUAGUGCACACCGUAGUAGACUUACUCCUAAUGUGGCUGAAGCUCUAAUGUGCAUGCAAGCUUGGUCUUGUGCUGAUCUAUUAGGUGGCUGGAAUUCCACUCUCUUUGCAACAUUUCAAAGUGUUCUUGAGGAAGAUGAAGAAGAGAUGGAUGAAUCUACUUCAAUUAUCACUCAAGAAUGA
rnacentral:rRNA from 1 species